UACGAAGGGGGCUAGCGUUGUUCGGAAUUACUGGGCGUAAAGCGCGCGCAGGCGGUCUUCCAAGUCAGUGGUGAAAGCCCGGAGCUCAACUCCGGAAAUGCCAUUGAAACUGUGAAGCUUGAGAACGAGAGAGGUGAGUGGAAUUCCCAGUGUAGAGGUGAAAAUUCGUAGAUAUUGGGAAGAACACCAGUGGCGAAGGCGGCUCACUGGCUCGUAACUGACGCUCAUGCACGACAGCGUGGGGAUCAAACAGG
rnacentral:rRNA from 1 species